UGAUGCAGCGUGGGGCGCAGUAAGAAAUGGUUCUGAGAAUCAGGCUGGCGAGCUCUUCUCUGCUCUCAUUUUUGAAUGAAGAUUUCUUUUUCACUUCUGGCUCUGUAGAAGAGGGGAAAGCAGGGACAUUUUGUACAAAAUGGAAAAGCAAAUACUAUUUACUCUCUGGAAAGAACCCCCGCGGCGGGGAGCAGGAGGGGGAGGAGGGCAGGACACUCCCUGGGUUGUACACACAGCAGCUCCGGGUCCUCCAGGCCCUGAGGUCUGGGCUGCAGCUCCGCCCACUCAGCAGGAAAGGGUGAAGGAGGCCUCCAAGUCUUGGAAUCUUUGAAAAGGCUGCUCCUGGGGAAGUUUCUCCUCACUCUCACUGGGGCUCCCUCCCCUCCAGGCAGGAAUGGCCAGGCUGUGAUGCUCUCUGGCUUUUGUGAUGCAAUCUACCUGGGAUCCAACCCCAAAGAAGGCCGAGGAGUAGGGCAGGGGUCAUUGUCCCAACAGCUGGGAAACAGAAUCCAGAGUGGUUCAUUCAUACAGAGAGAGACAGGGAUACCCCAGGAGCAGAACCAGGAACGCGAGAGCCCAGGAGAGCACCAGGAGGGUCUCCGUCCAAUUCCCGUGAGUCCAAGGGCUCUUCAAUUUUCCAUCCUGGGAGAUCUUCAAGACACGCAGGAACCCUCCCUGUUUACCAAACUGCUAAGGCUUCUUCAGAGUUUAAAAAAAAUCCCCAUCUCUGCCAAACCCUGAAGUUGCCUCAACACUUUCAAGAAGACCCAUUGUGGUCUUGCUGGAGUGUGGAAUUCAGGAUCGAGAUGCAAAAUUAUCAUGAGCAUUUUUACUCUCUCUCUCUAACCCAUCCUAAGUGAAAACUAUGGCUUUCCAAUAUAAGUAGGGUUUGAAAAUGCAAUCAAAUAUCUAUUAUCAACAGCUGGCACAGAAGAUCUCACUUCCUCACCCUACAUCGAGGGAAUCUCACCUACAGGACUUGUGGUCACUCCAACGGGUCCCUGUGUGCAGGACACACAAAUGAUGAACAGCCAUCCCUCACAUGUCCUCUCUUCCCCAGCCAUGGUGAGGGCAAGGCUUCCAGAUUCACUUUAUCACGAAUGUGUUCCUCAAUUGUCAUCAUUCCAGGAACAUCUGUUGUAGCAAUUUAUAUUAAGCAUCUUGACUGAUUCUGGAUAAUGUUUACCCGUUUGCAUCCAUUUACUAACUACUUUUCUAUCAGGAAAUUGAAUUCUUUGAAAUCCUCAGGCAAGCCACGUGAGAAAAAAAUAAAAUUGCAUGA